rnacentral:rRNA from 1 species
UACGAAGGGGGCUAGCGUUGCUCGGAAUUACUGGGCGUAAAGGGAGCGUAGGCGGAUAGUUUAGUCAGAGGUGAAAGCCCAGGGCUCAACCUUGGAAUUGCCUUUGAUACUGGCUAUCUUGAGUACGGAAGAGGUAUGUGGAACUCCGAGUGUAGAGGUGAAAUUCGUAGAUAUUCGGAAGAACACCAGUGGCGAAGGCGACAUACUGGACUGUAACUGACGCUGAGGCAUGAAAGCGUGGGGAGCAAACAGG